rnacentral:rRNA from 1 species
AUUGGAUCCAGACUUUGAUCAUGGCUCAGGAUGAACUCUAGCUACAGGCUUAACACAUGCAAGUCGAGGGGAAACGAUAGAGAAAGCUUGCUUUUUCUAGGCGUCGACCGGCGCACGGGUGAGUAACGCGUAUCCAACCUGCCCAUCACUUGGGGAUAACCUUGCGAAAGUAAGACUAAUACCCAAUGAUAUCUCAAGAAGACAUCUGAAUGAGAUUAAAGAUUUAUCGGUGAUGGAUGGGGAUGCGUCUGAUUAGCUUGUUGGCGGGGUAACGGCCCACCAAGGCUACGAUCAGUAGGGGUUCUGAGAGGAAGGUCCCCCACAUUGGAACUGAGACACGGUCCAAACUCCUACGGGAGGCAGCAGUGAGGAAUAUUGGUCAAUGGGCGAGAGCCUGAACCAGCCAAGUAGCGUGCAGGAUGACGGCCCUAUGGGUUGUAAACUGCUUUUAUAAGGGAAUAAAGUGAGUCUCGUGAGACUUUUUGCAUGUACCUUAUGAAUAAGGACCGGCUAAUUCCGUGCCAGCAGCCGCGGUAAUACGGAAGGUCCGGGCGUUAUCCGGAUUUAUUGGGUUUAAAGGGAGCGUAGGCCGGAGAUUAAGCGUGUUGUGAAAUGUAGAUGCUC